AGGUGCUCAAAGUUAGAUUGUGGAUUUUGUACCUACUAUUACUCUUUUAGGCAUAACACAUGCAUAUAAAAAGUAAUGAAGGAUUGGCAACUAGAGGUAAAGAAAGAACUUUUUUAAUUAUAUAAUUUGCAUGUUGCUUGAUGAAUUUUAAGUUAGGAUGAAUUGAAGUCAAAACUUAUAAUCUAAGGGUAGUUAGUAACCCAAUUUACUAGUGGUUGUAUUUUGAGCCAUAUCUUAAGUAAUUUGAAAAGAUUUUGGCUAAAAUUUUCUAAAAAUAUAUAUUAUCAUAUUAAUAAACUUUUAUAUUUAAGUUUUAUAGCAUUUGGAAUUUUGAAAUAUGGAAAAAAUAGUAUUAAAGUGCUUCUAAAUUAGAGUUUAAUGCACUUACUAGGAUUUCUAAGAUGCCAGAUAAUCCGUAGUAGAUUUAUGGUUUAUUUUUUUUAUUGCAAAGCUUAAAGGUAUAGCCUAAAUUUUCUAAAAAUUUGAAAAAAAAUUAAAUAAUUAGAUUAAGAAUUAUGAAUUUCUAAAAU
rnacentral:lncRNA from 1 species